rnacentral:rRNA from 1 species
GACGAACGCUGGCGGCAUGCCUAACACAUGCAAGUCGAACGGGGAUAGCAAUAUCCUAGUGGCGAACGGGUGAGUAACGCGUGAGCAACCUGCCUUGUACAACGGGAUACCCGAGGGAAACUUCGGUUAAUACGGUAUAAGACCACACUACCGCAUGGUAGAGGGGUAAAAGGAGAAAUCCGGUAUAAGAUGGGCUCGCGUCGCAUUAGCUAGUUGGUAAGGUAACGGCUUACCAAGGCGACGAUGCGUAGCCGACCUGAGAGGGUGAUCGGCCACAUUGGGACUGAGAUACGGCCCAG